AUUGAACGCUGGCGGCAGGCCUAACACAUGCAAGUCGAGCGAGCGGCGGACGGGUGAGUAAUGUCUGGGAAACUGCCCGAUGGAGGGGGAUAAAUCCUGGAAACGGUAGCUCAUACCGCAUACCAUCUGCUGUGACCAGAUGGGAUUAGCUCGUAGGUGGGGUAAUGGCUCACCUAGGCGACGAUCCCUAGCUGGUCUGAGAGGAUGACCAGCCACACUGGAACUGAGACACGGUCCAGACUCCUACGGGAGGCAGCAGUGGGGAAUAUUGCACAAUGGGCGCAAGCCUGAUGCAGCCAUGCCGCGUGUAUGAAGAAGGCCUUCGGGUUGUAAAGUACUUUCAGCGGGGAGGCGUUACCCGCAGAAGAAGCACCGGCUAACUCCGUGCCAGCAGCCGCGGUAAUAC
rnacentral:rRNA from 1 species